rnacentral:rRNA from 1 species
UACGUAGGGGGCAAGCGUUGUCCGGAAUCAUUGGGCGGAAAGAGCGCGUAGGCGGCCCUGUAAGUCCGCUGUGAAAGUCAAGGGCUCAACCCUUGGAUGCCGGUGGAUACUGCAGGGCUAGAGUCCGGAAGAGGCGAGUGGAAUUCCUGGUGUAGCGGUGAAAUGCGCAGAUAUCAGGAGGGACACCGAUGGCGAAGGCAGCUCGCUGGGACGGUACUGACGCUGAGGCGCGAAAGCGUGGGGAGCAAACAGG